GACGAACGCUGGCGGCGUGCCUAAUACAUGCAAGUUGAGCGCUGAAGGUUGGUACUUGUCCCGACUGGAUGAGCAGCGAACGGGUGAGUAACGCGUGGGGAAUCUGCCUUUGAGCGGGGGACAACAUUUGGAAACGAAUGCUAAUACCGCAUAAAAACUUUAAACACAAGUUUUAAGUUUGAAAGAUGCAAUUGCAUCACUCAAAGAUGAUCCCGCGUUGUAUUAGCUAGUUGGUGAGGUAAAGGCUCACCAAGGCGAUGAUACAUAGCCGACCUGAGAGGGUGAUCGGCCACAUUGGGACUGAGACACGGCACAAACUCCUACGGGAGGCAGCAGUAGGGAAUCGUCGGCAAUGGACGAAAGUCUGACCGAGCAACGCCGCGGGAGUGAAGAAGGUUUUCGGAUCGUAAAACUCUGUUGGUAGAGAAGAACGUUGGUGAGAGUGGAAAGCUCAUCAAGUGACGGUAACUACCCAGAAAGGGACGGCUAACUACGUG
rnacentral:rRNA from 1 species